GAGGCUAUAGCUCAGUGGUAGAGCGCCUGCUUAGCAUGCACGAGGUCCUGGGUUCAACCCCUGGCACCUCCA
rnacentral:tRNA from 1 species